AACCUGAAGCAACACAUUUUCGGCGCUUUCUGCUCAAUGAGUGUUAAAUAGCCGCAGUACCCUGACUGUGCAAAGGUAGCAUAAUAAUUUGGCUUUUAAUUGGAGUCUGGUAUGAAUGAAAAAAUGGGGAAAUGCUGUAUCAGUUAAAUGUAUUUAAUUUAAUUAGAAGGUGAAAAUGCCUUUGUUUAUAUAAUAGACGAGAAGACCCUUGAAAUUUGAGAUAUUAAUUUUGUUGGGGCGACAAAGUAGCAUGAUAAACCUACUUUUUUAAUAUGUAUUAGUAUUUAAAGAGAAAUAAAAUUACUCAAGGGAUAACAGCAUAAUUAUAAGUAGUUUGUGACCUCGAUGUUGGAUUAGGAACAUCUAGCCCAGAAGGUUAAGAUUUUCGCUCUGUUCGAGCGGUUUUUCCU
rnacentral:rRNA from 1 species